rnacentral:ncRNA from 1 species
GAAAGCUGUGUGCUAGGAAACCAGCACGCACAGUUUGGGGAGGGACCGUUGGAAAAGUAUCUUAAUACCGAGAUAACUCGCUGGCGGUCUACUCUAC